GACGAACGCUGGCGGCGUGCUUAACACAUGCAAGUCGAGCGGUAAGGCCCUUCGGGGUACACGAGCGGCGAACGGGUGAGUAACACGUGGGUGACCUGCCUUUAGCUCUGGGAUAAGCCUGGGAAACCGGGUCUAAUACCGGAUAUGACUCCGCGGCGCAUGUUGUGGGGUGGAAAGCCUUGUGCGGCUGGAGAUGGGCCCGCGGCCUAUCAGCUUGUUGGUGGGGUGAUGGCCUACCAAGGCGACGACGGGUAGCCGGCCUGAGAGGGCGACCGGCCACACUGGGACUGAGACACGGCCCAGACUCCUACGGGAGGCAGCAGUGGGGAAUAUUGCGCAAUGGGCGGAAGCCUGACGCAGCGACGCCGCGUGGGGGAUGACGGCCU
rnacentral:rRNA from 1 species